rnacentral:lncRNA from 10 species
AACUUUAGAAUCUUUUCUCCUGUGUUUCAAGUGACUUCCAUCGGUGUGGUUUCUCCAGGGGUGAUCCCAGGGACACCAGCUUGAGAAUCACCUGGGGAAGGGGUAGGGUGGGGGGAGGAGGGGGCUUAUCAAAUGCAGUUCCUUGGGACCAGCCCGUUCUUUGCUUCUCUCAGAACCCCUGUGAGUAGAUGGAUAAUCAACCUCCUUUUACCAUAGAUGAAACUGAGGCUCGGAGAAGUUAGGGGACAUGCCCGAGAUGAUUUAAUUAAAUAAUGACAGGCAUAUCUUCAACUGCUGCAGCCCCUGCCCUGGUCACAGGCUCCCUGUGGACCCCACCUGCUAAACAUAAACAAACCCAUAGUGCAGCAGCCACAACUCAAGCUGGGAGGCCUUUGUGGAGGUUGAUUUUUAUCUCCCCGCAGUCAGGCACAAGUGAGAAUUUCAUAAAUAGUUCUAACAAAGCUGCCUUUCACAGCCAGCUCUUUGCACUGUAAAAAAUAAUAAUAAUAAAAUAAAAACCUGAUUUCAGAAA